rnacentral:rRNA from 1 species
GACGAACGCUGGCGGCGUGCCUAAUACAUGCAAGUCGAACGCAGUGGGGACGGGUGAGUAACACGUGGGUAACCUCCCAUCAGAGGGGAUAACACUUGGAAACAGGUGCUAAACCGAUACUGAUGGAUGGACCCGCGGUGCAUUAGCUAGUUGGUGAGGUAACGGCUCACCAGGGCCACGAUGCAUAGUCGACCUGAGAGCAGGAUCGGCCACACUGGGACGGAUACACGGCCCAGACUCCUACGGGAGGCAGCAGUCGGGAGUCUUGGGCAAUGGACGAAAGUCUGCUCGAGAAACGCCGCGAGAGUGAAGAAGUUUUUCGGAUCGUAAAACACUGUUGUUAGAGAAGCGGUAUCUAACCAGGAAGCCAAGUCUGACUACUUGCCAGGAGCCUCGGUAAUAC